CUCCCCUCGAACUUUCUUUUUCCCUUUGUCCUCUCUGAUUGUAGAAAAUGUUAAUAAACAGGAAACCUGGAUGAAGAAAAGAUGUGGGUGGGUUAUCUGAGACAGGAUCUCUCUGCAUAGACCAGCCUGUCUUGGAACGAUGUAGACCAGGCUGUCCCGAAACUCAGAGAUUCCCUGCUUGCUGCCUCCUGAGUGCUGCGAUCACACACCUUUCUUUACAUUUACCUGUAUAUGUGUCUAUCUGCUUGUCUGUGUGUGCACCACUUGACUGCAUGUACCCACGGAGGCCACAGAUUCUGAUCGUCUGAUUCCCAGAGCUGGAUUUACAGGCUGUUGGGAGCUGCCCCAUGUGGAUGCUGGGAACAGAAUUGAGUCUUCUACAAGAGCAGCAAGUGCUUGUAACCUCUGAGUGAUUUCUCCAGCCCCAUUGGUCGUUCUUUUUAAGACAGAGCCUUAUGUAGCCCAGACUGACCUCAAACUUACAAAGAAGUCAGAAUUGGCCUCCAACUCCUGAUCCUCCUACCUCAGCUGGCUGAGAACUUUGGGACCACAGGCAUGCACUACAAGGCCUGCCUACAAAUUACUUCAAAAGAGAGAACUAUUAGAGCAUAUGCCUGACACUUUAUGAUGGGGGAGGUGUCACUCUUUAAAAGGCCAGAUCCCACAGCCUGUCAGGAUCAAGCCUCCCUUCAGCUCUUUGUCGGAGAGACUGUCUGGGCUGUGACUUCACAUUCUCAAUUUAUGAUACCUGGCUCCUCCAGGCUCUCUGUGACAGACUCCAUGUUGAAGUAAAUUCUGUGUUCUGAGACUCCCGUCAGUUCCCACAAACUCUUAUUGCUGGAGGGAGUGCUCUGAAGAGGUUUCUCUGGUCUCUCUCCCCCAUUCAUCUCAUGUAGCCUUAGCUGGUCUGGAACUUGGUAUGUAGAUCAGGCUGAUCAAAAGCUUGCAGAGGGGCUGGAGAGGUGGCUCAGUGGUUAAGAGCACUGACUGCUCUUCCAGAGGUCCUGAGUUCAAUUCCCAGCAACCACAUGGUGGCUCACAACCAUCUGUAAUGAGAUCUGAUGCCCUCUUUUGCUGUGUCUGAAGACAGCUACAGCAUACUUAUAUAUAAUUAACUAAAUCUUAAGAGAAAGAAAGAGGGGUUGGGGAUUUAGCUCAGUGGUAGAGUGCUUGCCUAGCAAGCUCCGAAAAAGAAAAAAAAAAAGAGAGAGAGAGAAAGAAAGAAAGAAAGAAAGAAAGAAAGAAAGAAAGAAAGAAAGACAGAGAAAGAAAGAAAGGAAAAAGCUCGCAGAGCUCCUCUGGCCUCUGCCUCUCAAGGGCUGGGAAAUAAGGUUUGUGUUACUAUGUCAGUUUUAGAACCCCCCCCGCCACACCCACUCCAGUAGAGUCUGUGUGACGUGAAGCUUUUGUGCUUCGUUUCUAUCCAGAACAGAGGCCUGUGCCUAGAAUGGCUCGGCCUCCUGGAGGUCCCUGGCAGUCUCCCUACAAAAAGAUGAUGACUAGGGUCUAUGCUUGUGGUGGAGGUGCCUUCUGUGUUCUAGCCUUGGUGAUCUUAGCAACUUUAAGCUGUCAACAAUAUCUGAUUUUAAGAAUAUAGCAGUGUGGGAAGAUGGUCACGUACCUUUAGAUGUCUCAGGAACUGAAAGUUCAGAGACGGAAAUGUCUCACACCAUCAUGAUCCUGAUGAACUCAACGGCUGCGAUGAAUUCAACUGCUGUAUCCAUUAGCUCCCAGUAAAUAGGAGAGCAAUUAAUUACAGUUACUAACAACAUGGCUGUUCCAGAAAAGUCUUUUCCCCCUUUUGGAUAAGUUUUGAUUAGCAUGAUUCAAAAUAGUAACGAUUCUUUUAGAAAGAUCAUAGACAAGUUCCAACAAGUUGAACAAACUUAUCAAGAGUUAACUAUGGUUACAAAAGUUUCCUUACUAAUCUGAGGGGCCAUAAAUAUAGAGUUUAAACUUUAUUAUGACAAAGAUAAAUGAUGAAAACAUACCUGGUGCCCACAAAUCUGGCAGUAUAACUGCAGUUUUCUAAACUAUUGUUUGCAGUUGAGAACUGUUUCCUAGACUGUAUGUUUAGCUUUCCUCUUUGCAAGGGACAUUGGUGGGGUAAUGAAUAAGAGCUGGAUGACUGCCAAUUAUGAUGUACCUGUUCUAACUGCUUAAAUCUACGCCAAGAAGUAAAGCUUUUUGCAGCAGCAC